GCCUAACACAUGCAAGUCGAACGGCAGCACGGACUUCGGUCUGGUGGCGAGUGGCGAACGGGUGAGUAAUGUAUCGGAACGUGCCUAGUAGCGGGGGAUAACUACGCGAAAGCGUAGCUAAUACCGCAUACGCCCUACGGGGGAAAGCAGGGGAUCGCAAGACCUUGCACUAUUAGAGCGGCCGAUAUCGGAUUAGCUAGUUGGUGGGGUAACGGCUCACCAAGGCGACGAUCCGUAGCUGGUUUGAGAGGACGACCAGCCACACUGGGACUGAGACACGGCCCAGACUCCUACGGGAGGCAGCAGUGGGGAAUUUUGGACAAUGGGGGAAACCCUGAUCCAGCCAUCCCGCGUGCGCGAUGAAGGCCUUCGGGUUGUAAAGCACUUUUGGCAGGAAAGAAACGUCAUGGGCUAAUACCCCGUGAAACUGACGGUACCUGCAGAAUAAGCACCGGCUAACUACGUGCCAGCAGCCGCGGUAAUACGUAGGGUGCAAGCGUUAAUCGGAAUUACUGGGCGUAAAGCGUGCGCAGGCGGUUCGGAAAGAAAGAUGUGAAAUCCCAGAGCUUAACUUUGGAACUGCAUUUUUAACUACCGAGCUAGAGUGUGUCAGAGGGAGGUGGAAUUCCGCGUGUAGCAGUGAAAUGCGUAGAUAUGCGGAGGAACACCGAUGGCGAAGG
rnacentral:rRNA from 1 species